UCCUACGGAUAUCUCCCGGAAUACUUGCAUAACUUUAAAACCUUGUCGUCUGCAAGGACUGAAGARAGAUAUUGAGUGAGUCAUCACAACUGAACUCAGCUGAUCCUGAACAAGGAAGAGAGGUAUCUCUAUGGAGACAGAUCUUUUGGAAGUUGUGAUCUGCAGCAGAAAAGAGCAUUUAAGUGUACAGGACAUAUAGGGACCACAUUGAUCAGAAGAGUGUCUGGAGCCAACUUGGCCUGCUGAAGGUAUGGUAUUGUGCAUGAUGACUGUACAGAAUAUAGAACA